AGUGAACGCUGGCGGUAGGCCUAACACAUGCAAGUCGAACGAGUGGCGGACGGGUGAGGAAUACAUCGGAAUCUACCCUGUCGUGGGGGAUAACCUCGGGAAACCGGGACUAAUACCGCAUACGAUUGGAUGAGCCGAUGUCGGAUUAGCUUGUUGGUGGGGUAAGAGCCCACCAAGGCGACGAUCCGUAGCUGGUCUGAGAGGAUGAUCAGCCACACUGGGACUGAGACACGGCCCAGACUCCUACGGGAGGCAGCAGUGGGGAAUAUUGGACAAUGGGCGCAAGCCUGAUCCAGCAAUACCGCGUGAGUGAAGAAGGCCUUCGGGUUGUAAAGCUCUUUUGUUGGGAAAGCGGUACCCAAAGAAUAAGCACCGGCUAACUACGUGCCAGCCGCCGCGGUAAUUC
rnacentral:rRNA from 1 species